GCAAGACAGGGGGACCGUUGACCGAGCGCGACCGAUAAACUGUUCUCGGACGUGGCCGGGCGCAGCCCCCGUACCGUCCGCCCAUGAUCAGCCAGCAGCCGCUGCAACCCCAGGGAG
rnacentral:sRNA from 1 species